UGUAUACUCAUACCAUAUUCCCACACCGCCAUUCAACCCUUUCGCCAUACUUUCUCCGCCGCAACCCUCGCUAUGUCCUCCGCCAGAUCACGGAACUUCCGCCGCCGCGCCACCGAGCCCAACGAUGACGAUGCCAACGACGGCACACCUUCAACCACCGCCACGAUGACCACCACCAAGCCUAAAAAGCCCCCAAAGCUCCUCAGCUUCGCCGACGACGAAGGCGACGACGCUGACGCUCCCCCCUCACGCGCCUCCUCCAAAACCCACCGCUCCGCCGCCGAAAAACCCUCCUCCCGCAUCGCCAAGCCCUCCUCCUCCUCCUCCUCCCAUAAAAUCACCACUCACAAGGACCGCAUCGCUCACUCUUCUACUCCGUCCGUACCCUCCAAUGUCCAACCCUUAGCCGGAACUUACACCAAAGAAGCCCUUCGUGAGCUCCAGAAGAACACAAGAACCUUAGUCACUAGCAGCAGCAGCGCCUCUCGUGCUUCCGCUUCGGGUUCGGGUUCGGAUCCGAAGCCUUCUUCCGAGCCUGUUAUUGUCCUCAAGGGACUCGUCAAGCCGUUAGGUUCGGAUGCCGAUGCUGCUAGGGAUUCGGAUUCCGGAGGGGAGCAGGAGGACGUGGAGGCAAAAUUGGCCGCCGUAGGGAUUGCGGCGAAUGGGAAGGAUUCUGUUAUUCCGGAUGAGAAGACAAUUAGGGCUAUUAGGGCGAAGAGGGAGCGGCUCCGGCAGGCUCGUCCUGCGGCGCCAGAUUAUAUCUCGUUGGAUGGGGGGAGUAAUCACGGUGAGGCAGAGGGGCUGAGCGACGAGGAGCCGGAGUUUCGUGGCCGGAUUGCGAUGUUUGGAGAGAAGAAGAAGGAUGCUGGGAAGAAGGGUGUGUUUGAGGAUGUGGAUGUGGAUGAGAGGUUGAAAGUUAAGAAGGGUGAUGACGAUGUUGGUUAUGGUUAUGGUUAUGAUGAGGAGGAUGAGGAGGAGAAGAUGUGGGAAGAGGAGCAGGUUCGGAAAGGGUUGGGGAAGAGAAUCGACGAAGGGUCAGGUAGGGUUAGUGGGGUUGCCACUAAUGUUCCUGUUGUGCAAGUUCAGCACCAGCAACAGCAGCACAAGUUUAUUGGUCCCUCGGUUGGAACCGUGUAUGGCACGGUUCCUGGGGUUUCGGUGAGCCCAAGCAUUGGGGGAGCCAUUGAAGCUACGCCGGCUUUGGAUGUUGUGUCCAUAUCUCAGCAAGCUGAGAUAGCGAAAAAGGCUUUGCAGGAUAAUGUGAAGAGGCUUAGGGAAUCUCAUGCAAGAACAGUGUCAUCACUGAAUAAAACUGAUGAAAAUCUGUCUGCCUCCCUUUUGAAUAUUACUACUCUUGAAAACUCUUUGGCGCUAGCUGAUGAGAAGUACAGGUAUAUGCAAAGGCUCCGAAAUUAUGUCACCAAUUUAUGUGAUUUUUUACAGCAUAAAGCAUUUUACAUUGAAGAACUUGAAGAGCAAAUGAAGAAAAUUCAUGAAGAUCGUGCGUCAGCUGUUUUUGAAAGAAGAGCCACUAAUAAUGAUGAUGAAAUGAUGGAGAUAGAAGCAGCUGUGAAGGCUGCAAUGUCAGUUUUAAGCAGGAAAGGUAACAAUGUUGAAGCUGCCAAAAGUGCAGCUCAGGAUGCAUUUGCGGCUAUAAGAAAACAAAAAGAUCUUCCAGUGGAGUUAGAUGAAUUUGGUAGAGACUUAAAUCUUGAGAAACGGAUGAAAUUGAAAGUGAGGGCUGAGGCUCGUCAACAACGCAAGAGGUCUCGUGCAUUUGAUUCUAAAAAACUGUCAUCCAUGGAAUUGGAUGAUAAUAAAGUAGAGGGUGAGUCAAGCACUGAUGAGAGUGGUGACGAAAGCCAAGCAUAUCAAUCACAACAGGAUCUGGUACUGCAGGCUGCCGAUGAGAUUUUCAGUGAUGCCUCUGAGGAAUAUGGUCAACUGUCUUUGGUCAAAAGAAGAUUUGAAGAAUGGAAAAGAGAGUAUUCCUCAAGCUAUGCUGAUGCUUAUAUUUCAUUGAGUCUUCCAUUGAUCUUUUCUCCAUAUGUAAGAUUGGAACUGCUGAGGUGGGACCCACUCCGUAAGGGACUAGACUUUCAAAAUAUGAAAUGGUAUAAAUUGUUGUUCAGUUAUGGCUUGUCUGGCGAUGGAAAAGAUUUUGUUCAUGAUGAAAAUGAUGCUGAUCUUGAACUUGUCCCAAAUCUAGUGGAAAAGGUUGCACUGCCUAUUCUGCAUUAUGAAAUUUCCCAUUGCUGGGACAUGUUUAGUCAGCAGCAAACCAUAAAUGCUAUUGCUGCCACAAAAUUAGUUGUGCAACAUGUGUCACAUGAAAGUGAAGCCCUUGCAGAUUUUCUGGUUUCCAUUCGUACACGUCUGGCCGAUGCUGUUGCUAAUCAUAUGGUCCCAACUUGGAGUCCAUUAGUACUAGCUGCUGUUCCAGAUGCUGCAGGGGUUGCAGCAUAUCGGUUUGGAAUGUCUGUUAGAUUAUUGAGAAAUAUUUGCUUGUGGAAGGAUAUAUUUUCAAUGUCAGUAUUAGAGAAGCUUGCCCUUGACGAGCUUUUGUAUGGAAAAGUUCUACCUCACUUUAGAAGCAUAUCGGAAAAUGUUCAUGACGCAAUAACAAGAACAGAACGUGUCGUUGCUUCCCUAUCUGGGGUCUGGGCUGGCCCAAGUGUUGUUGGAGACAGCAGCCACAAAUUGCAGUCCAUGGUGGCUUAUGUGCUGUCACUUGCAAGGAUUUUAGAGAGAAGAAAUGCAGCUGAGACUGACACAAGUCAUCUAGCCCGCCGGUUAAAGAAAAUACUUGUCGACCUCAACGAAUAUGACCACGCUAGGAACAUAGCUAGAACCUUCCAUCUCAAGGAGGCAUUGUGAGUGAACACAGCUUGCAUUCAAUGUGUCUUUAUACACCACUCUUGGUAUACAAGGUAAUCUGACCCUUAGUUGAGCCUUUCUGAAGUGAGUUUAGAUAGCUUUCUGACUCGCAUAGCUUGAUGUAUGAUUUUCCUAUGGACCUUCUUCAAGCCUGAGGAGACAUCUUUCUUUCCCUUGUACACGGAGAACCACUAAUAAGUCUUUGCUCCAUAUGGUGCCUCUUGGAAGUUGGAAUCGUAAAUUGCCUUUUUGACUAGCCAUGGAUGCUCCUACACUUGCCCCUCACGUUCUACUUCGAUUUCCACAAUUAGAAAUCGAUAUAAUAGCGGAUCAAUUUUUCAAACGUAUACAGAAGAUCGAAAACGUACCUUUGAAGAAAUUUGAUUUGAGGGAACGCGGGUAGGAUUCAAGAAAUGAGAAUGAUUUGAAUGAGACGAUAUGCCAAAUAGGAAACUUGGGUCCCCUCAAUUAGGAACGUGAAUUUCGAUUAUAUAUUCAAUACGUUGAAAAUAUGCUCUUAGAGUAUAUGUUAAACACUUAAAACUCUAAAUAGAAGAAUGAAACUUCACGCUGAAUUUCUCA